GAUGAACGCUGGCGGUAUGCUUAACACAUGCAAGUCGAACGGUAGCAGCUCUUCGGAGGCUGACGAGUGGCGGACGGGUGAGUAACGCGUAGGAAUCUGCCUGUUAGUGGGGGACAACGUGUGGAAACGCACGCUAAUACCGCAUACGCCCUACGGGGGAAAGGAGGGGACCUUCGGGCCUUUCGCUAACAGAUGAGCCUGCGUUAGAUUAGCUAGAUGGUGGGGUAAAGGCCUACCAUUGCGACGAUCUAUAGCUGUUCUGAGAGGAAAAUGAGCCACACUGGGACUGAGACGCGGCCCAGACUCCAACGGGAGGCAGCAGUGGGGAAUAUUGGACAAUGGGCGAAAGCCUGAUCCAGCAAUACCGCGUGUGUGAAGAAGGCCUUAGGGUUGUAAAGCACUUUCAAUGGGGAGGAAAAAGAGUAAGCUAAUACCUUGCUUAUUGACAUUACCCAUACAAGAAGCACCGGCUAACUCCGUGCCAGCCGCCGCAGUAAUAC
rnacentral:rRNA from 1 species